rnacentral:rRNA from 1 species
UGUAUUUAUUAGAUAAAAAACCAAUGCCCUUCGGGGCUUUUUGGUGAUUCAUGAUAACUUUACGGAUCGCAUAGCCUUGCGCUGGCGACGGUUCAUUCAAAUUUCUGCCCUAUCAACUUUCGAUGGUAAGGUAUUGGCUUACCAUGGUUUCAACGGGUAACGGGGAAUUAGGGUUCGAUUCCGGAGAGGGAGCCCGAGAAACGGCUACCACAUCCAAGGAAGGCAGCAGGCGCGCAAAUUACCCAAUCCCGACACGGGGAGGUAGUGACAAUAAAUACUGAUACAGGGCUCUUUUGGGUCUUGUAAUUGGAAUGAGUACAAUUUAAACCUCUUAACGAGGAACAAUUGGAGGGCAAGUCUGGUGCCAGCAGCCGCGGUAAUUCCAGCUCCAAUAGCGUAUAUUAAAGUUGUUGCAGUUAAAAAGCUCGUAGUUGAAACUUGGGCCUGGCUGGCGGGUCCGCCUCACCGCGUGCACUCGUCCGGCCGGGCCUUCCUUCUGAAGAACCUCAUGCCCUUCACUGGGCGUGCUGGGGAACCAGG